rnacentral:rRNA from 1 species
GACGAACGCUGGCGGCGUGCCUAAUACAUGCAAGUAGAACGCUGAAGAGAGGAGCUUGCUCUUCUUGGAUGAGUUGCGAACGGGUGAGUAACGCGUAGGUAACCUGCCUUGUAGCGGGGGAUAACUAUUGGAAACGAUAGCUAAUACCGCAUAACAAUGGAUGACCCAUGUCAUUUAUUUGAAAGGGGCAAAUGCUCCACUACAAGAUGGACCUGCGGUGUAUUAGCUAGUAGGUGAGGUAACGGCCCACCUAGGCGACGAUACAUAGCCGACCUGGGAGGGUGAUCGGCCACACUGGGACUGAGACACGGCCCAGACGCCGACGGGAGGCAGCAGUAGGGAAUCUUCGGCAAUGGGGGCAACCCUGACCGAGCAACGCCGCGUGAGGGAAGAAGGGUUUCGGAUCGGAAAGCUCUGUUGUAAGUCAAGAACGAGUGUGGGAGUGGAAAGUUCACACUGUGACGGUAGCUUACCAGAAAGGGACGGCUAACUACGUG